rnacentral:rRNA from 1 species
GGAAGAUGUAACGGGGCUAAACCAUGCACCGAAGCUGCGGCAGCGACGCUGAUGCGUUGUUGGGUAGGGGAGCGUUCUGUAAGCCUGUGAAGGUGGCCUGUGAGGGUUGCUGGAGGUAUCAGAAGUGCGAAUGCUGACAUAAGUAACGAUAAAGCGGGUGAAAAGCCCGCUCGCCGGAAGACCAAGGGUUCCUGUCCAACGUUAAUCGGGGCAGGGUGAGUCGACCCCUAAGGCGAGGCCGAAAGGCGUAGUCGAUGGGAAACGGGUUAAUAUUCCCGUACUUGGUGUUACUGCGAAGGGGGGACGGAGAAGGCUAUGUUGGCCGGGCGACGGUUGUCCCGGUUUAAGCGUGUAGGUGUGUGUUCCAGGUAAAUCCGGUUCACUUUAACACUGAGGCGUGAUGACGAGGCACUACGGUGCUGAAGCAACAAAUGCCCUGCUUCCAGGAAAAGCCUCUAAGCAUCAGGUAACAUCAAAUCGUACCCCAAACCGACACAGGUGGUCAGGUAGAGAAUACCAAGGCGCUUGAGAGAACUCGGGUGAAGGAACUAGGCAAAAUGGUGCCGUAACUUCGGGAGAAGGCACGCUGACACGUAGGUGAAGUGAUUUACUCACGGAGCUGAAGUCAGUCGAAGAUACCAGCUGGCUGCAACUGUUUAUUAAAAACACAGCACUGUGCAAACACGAAAGUGGACGUAUACGGUGUGACGCCUGCCCGGUGCCGGAAGGUUAAUUGAUGGGGUCAGCGCAAGCGAAGCUCCUGAUCGAAGCCCCGGUAAACGGCGGCCGUAACUAUAACGGUCCUAAGGUAGCGAAAUUCCUUGUCGGGUAAGUUCCGACCUGCACGAAUGGCGUAAUGAUGGCCAGGCUGUCUCCACCCGAGACUCAGUGAAAUUGAACUCGCUGUGAAGAUGCAGUGUACCCGCGGCAAGACGGAAAGACCCCGUGAACCUUUACUAUAGCUUGACACUGAACAUUGAGCCUUGAUGUGUAGGAUAGGUGGGAGGCUUUGAAGUGUGGACGCCAGUCUGCAUGGAGCCGACCUUGAAAUACCACCCUUUAAUGUUUGAUGUUCUAACGUGGACCCGUGAUCCGGGUUGCGGACAGUGUCUGGUGGGUAGUUUGACUGGGGCGGUCUCCUCCUAAAGAGUAACGGAGGAGCACGAAGGUUGGCUAAUCCUGGUCGGACAUCAGGAGGUUAGUGCAAUGGCAUAAGCCAGCUUGACUGCGAGCGUGACGGCGCGAGCAGGUGCGAAAGCAGGUCAUAGUGAUCCGGUGGUUCUGAAUGGAAGGGCCAUCGCUCAACGGAUAAAAGGUACUCCGGGGAUAACAGGCUGAUACCGCCCAAGAGUUCAUAUCGACGGCGGUGUUUGGCACCUCGAUGUCGGCUCAUCACAUCCUGGGGCUGAAGUAGGUCCCAAGGGUAUGGCUGUUCGCCAUUUAAAGUGGUACGCGAGCUGGGUUUAGAACGUCGUGAGACAGUUCGGUCCCUAUCUGCCGUGGGCGCUGGAGAACUGAGGGGGGCUGCUCCUAGUACGAGAGGACCGGAGUGGACGCAUCACUGGUGUUCGGGUUGUCAUGCCAAUGGCACUGCCCGGUAGCUAAAUGCGGAAGAGAUAAGUGCUGAAAGCAUCUAAGCACGAAACUUGCCCCGA